GGGUUGUGAGGUUAAGCGACUAAGCGUACACGGUGGAUGCCCUGGCAGUCAGAGGCGAUGAAGGGCGUGCUAAUCUGCGAUAAGCGCCGGUAAGGUGAUAUGAACCGUUAUAACCGGCGAUACCCGAAUGGGGAAACCCAGUGUGAUUCGUCACACUAUCAUUACGUGAAUACAUAGCGUAAUGAAGCGAACCGGGGGAACUGAAACAUCUAAGUACCCCGAGGAAAAGAAAUCAACCGAGAUUCCCCCAGUAGCGGCGAGCGAACGGGGAGGAGCCCAGAGCCUGAAUCAGCAUGUGUGUUAGUGGAAGCGUCUGGAAAGGCGCGCGAUACAGGGUGACAGCCCCGUACACAAAAGCGCAUGUG
rnacentral:rRNA from 3 species